rnacentral:rRNA from 1 species
AUCCUAGCAUAUUUMCUUGCAUCWUAGUAGAUGUGAUGCAGACUAYUAUGUGAUYAAAUUCUAGGKAGMAUUWUGAUAAUGACCWUKUCUGCYUAUKUUUCUWGCCCAAUUUUAGUGCCASCAGUCGCUKUWAURCGUAAAKACUAGUAUUCAUGUUUAAUCGGUUUAAAGGGUACCUAGACGGUAGAUCAAGCUUUCUAAUAAAGGAAAAGGACUAAUUUACUAGAGUUACUUAUGAGGGGGUAUUAAAGUACUGCUGGUGUAGAGAUGAAAUUCUGUCAUACCUCUUUUCAAAAGAAAAACCAUGGCACAGGUAUAGGCGAAGGCAUCCCCUUAUGUGAUAACUGACGUUGAGGGACGAAGGCUUUGUGUAGCGAACAGGAUUAGAUACCCCAGUAGUCGAAGCAGAAAAUGAUGAAUGUCAUAGAUUAGAUAUAUAAGUUUAUUCUAUAAAUGAAAGUGUAAGCAUUCCACCUCAUGAGUAAUUUGGCAACAUUGGAACUGAAAUCAUUAGACCGUUUCUGAAACCAGUAGUGAAGUAUGUUGUUUAAUUUGAUGAUCCGCAAAAAACCUUACCACAAUUUGAAUAUUUAUAUUCUUUAUUGUUUUAUUAUUAAUUUUCUUGAACGUAAAGAUCACGUAAAAGAAAAAAGAAAUGCAUGAUAAUAGUAAGAAAAUUAAUAAAGAGGCAAUAAGAUAUAUUUACWAGCGUUGCACGGCUGUCUUCAGUUAAUGUCGCGAGACUUUGGUUAGUUCCAUUAAAUUAACGUAAACCCUUACUUUAUUUUUAUAUAGAGUAGUUCCCGCUAUAUYGGAUAUGAUACAGG